UUGCAGGAGAAGGCUUAUGAGGUAUGUUUGUAGAUUGUUGAGCUAGCUCUUUGUGUAGAUGCCACAGCAUUGUAGUUGAAGGUCUUGUAAUGUUGCAUGAACUUUGAGCUGCAUUGAUCUGGUUUGAUAACAACGUUUGCAAUCAAACACACUGCAGCAGGAUAUAAAUUCUGUGCACGUUUGCACUACUUUGGUGUUGAUGUAUCACUCAGCCUAUGGUCGUUCAUAAAAUGGUUUGAUCAGUACUGUAGUUUCUGUCACUUUUUCCUUACAGCCAUUGAUUGAGGUUAUGAAAAGACCGAAGUAAAUAACAGUUCUUUUCUUAUCAGUGUCAGUUCCAGAGUCUGUGACCGGAGAUGCUGUCAUAUGCCCCAGCCUAAUUUUGGUCUUUUCUAGUGCACCCUUUUCUUUAAUUCAUCAGUGAA